GACGAACCGUGCGAGCGUUAUUCGGAAUCACUGGGCUUAAAGCGCGUGUAGGCGGAUGGGGACGUCGGUUGCUGAAAGCCCCCGGCUCAACCGGGGAACGGGCACCGAAACGCCCCGUCUGGAGGGACGUAGGGGGACCUGGAACUUCCGGUGGAGCGGUGAAAUGCGUUGAGAUCGGAAGGAACGCCCGUGGCGAAAGCGAGGUCCUGGACGUUUACUGACGCUGAGACGCGAAAGCUAGGGGAGCGAACGGG
rnacentral:rRNA from 1 species